CCUUCGGGUGUGAAUUAGCGGCGAACCUGUGAGGAACACGUGAAGAAUCUGCCUUCAACUCUGGCAUAACUCCGGGAAACCGGGGCUAAUACCGGAUAUGAGCCUUGAUCGCAUGAUCGGGGCUGGAAAGUUUUUCGGUUGAAGAUGACUUCGCGGCCUAUCAGCUUGUUGGUGAGGUAAUGGCUCACCAAGGCGACGACGGGUAGCCGGCCUGAGAGGGCGACCGGCCACACUGGGACUGAGACACGGCCCAGACUCCUACGGGAGGCAGCAGUGGGGAAUAUUGGGCAAUGGAGGAAACUCUGACCCAGCGACGCCGCGUGAGGGAUGAAGGCCUUCGGGUUGUAAACCUCUUUCAGUAGGGAAGAAGCGAAAGUGACGGUACCUACAGAAGAAGCACCGGCUAACUAUGUGCCAGCAGCCGCGGUAAUACAUAGGGUGCAAGCGUUGUCCGGAAUUAUUGGGCGUAAAGAGCUCGUAGGUGGUUCGAUACGUCGGAUGUGAAAAUCAGGGGCUCAACCCCUGACCUGCAUCCGAUACGGUCGAGCUAGAGUUUGGUAGGGGAGACUGGAAUUCCUGGUGUAGCGGUGGAAUGCGCAGAUAUCAGGAGGAACACCGAUGGCGAAGGCAGGUCUCUGGGCCAAUACUGACACUGAGGAGCGAAAGCGUGGGGAGCGAACAGGAUUAGAUACCCUGGUAGUCCACGCCGUAAACGGUGGGCGCUAGUUGUGCGAACCUUCCACGGUUUGUGCGACGCAGCUAACGCAUUAAGCGCCCCGCCUGGGGAGUACGAUCGCAAGAUUAAAACUCAAAGGAAUUGACGGGGCCC
rnacentral:rRNA from 1 species